CAACAAUCUCUCGAUAGGAGGACUCACUUCUAUGGCGAAGCUUACGAUGAACGGAAGCAGGGUGGUCGUGCUUAUGAUAGUUAUCCUCGCAUGUACCACGAUUCAUUCGCAGUGUCGAUCAGUUGAACAAAUGAACAACAACAAGGUCCAAAUGUGCACAUGCUCACGGGUAAAUGCAGUUUACUGCUGCGACCUAGGAGGUGAUUGCUUUCCAACGAUAGAACAAUGCCAAAAAGGUUGCGCUCCUGGAUGCAAGCGAUCUCAUACCUUGACAGAGCCAUGAGCAACCAUUACAUAUGAUUUAUGAUGAGAAAUAAUGUCAUGACCAUCUUGUAAUAAAAUUAUGAGAUGUGAUCUAUGUUAGUGAUUUCUUA